rnacentral:rRNA from 1 species
AGAGUUUGAUCCUGGCUCAGGAUGAACGCUGGCGGCGUGCCUAAUACAUGCAAGUCGAACGCUUCACUUCGGUGAAGAGUGGCGAACGGGUGAGUAAUACAUAAGUAACCUGGCAUCUACAGGGGGAUAACUGAUGGAAACGUCAGCUAAGACCGCAUAGGUGUAGAGAUCGCAUGAACUCUAUAUGAAAAGUGCUACGGGACUGGUAGAUGAUGGACUUAUGGCGCAUUAGCUUGUUGGUAGGGUAACGGCCUACCAAGGCGACGAUGCGUAGCCGACCUGAGAGGGUGACCGGCCACACUGGGACUGAGACACGGCCCAGACUCCUACGGGAGGCAGCAGUAGGGAAUUUUCGGCAAUGGGGGAAACCCUGACCGAGCAACGCCGCGUGAAGGAAGAAGUAAUUCGUUAUGUAAACUUCUGUCAUAGAGGAAGAACGGUGGAUAUAGGGAAUGAUAUCCAAGUGACAGUACUCUAUAAGAAAGCCACGGCUAACUACGUGCCAGCAGCCGCGGUAAUACGUAGGUGGCGAGCGUUAUCCGGAAUUAUUGGGCGUAAAGAGGGAGCAGGCGGCACUAAGGGUCUGUGGUGAAAGAUCGAAGCUUAACUUCGGUAAGCCAUGGAAACCGUAGAGCUAGAGUGUGUGAGAGGAUCGUGGAAUUCCAUGUGUAGCGGUGAAAUGCGUAGAUAUAUGGAGGAACACCAGUGGCGAAGGCGACGAUCUGGCGCAUAACUGACGCUCAGUCCCGAAAGCGUGGGGAGCAAAUAGGAUUAGAUACCCUAGUAGUCCACGCCGUAAACGAUGAGUACUAAGUGUUGGGUGUCAAAGCUCAGUGCUGCAGUUAACGCAAUAAGUACUCCGCCUGAGUAGUACGUUCGCAAGAAUGAAACUCAAAGGAAUUGACGGGGGCCCGCACAAGCGGU